CGCUCUGGAUGGUGAAGGCAGACCCCCUUGUACAUGGAGUCCUCUUUGGAAGAGACACAGCUCUAGGAAGGAGGCCGUUGUAUUUGGGGUCCAGAAAAGGAGGACUCCUCCUUGGGUCCUGUGGAGUUCACAGCAGCAAAGAAGGGAGUUCUGGAGAUGGGAAGGGUGUCCCAGGAGAGAUUUGGGAUGAUGCCCAUCCAGCCAUGGUGGGGAAGGCGGAGGUCUCUCAGGGGAACAGGGAUGUGACCGGAAAGGGAGAGAUCCCCGGAAGAACAGCAGGGGCUCCGAAGUUCCAAGGAGGGUCCUUGAAUCCAGAGGACCAGCAGCUGUUGAGUUGGCAUUUGGCUGGUAAUGUGUCCCCUUUGUGACAUCACCAGUCACUACGGGGUCCUGUGGAAGGAAUCAUCACUGGCUCCCUUGAAUGAAUAUGAGAGUGGAAGAGAGCGGGUGUCUGAGAGAGAGGCUGAGAGAGCAAAAGACCUUUAGAGCGAGAUUGAGGGAGACUGUGAGAGUGAUUAAGAGAGAGGAAGAAAGAGAGACUGAGUAGAAAGUAGAGGGAGAUUAUCGUAGCGGUUUGAGGUGGGGAUUUGUUGUUUGGGAUAGGGAUGGGGAGGCGGUUGAGGCUGGGGUUAGUUUCUGGUAGUUUUUUGUUUUUUUGCUUUUCAAGUUGAGUUAGAUUUAGUUAGUUAAGUCAGGGUUGGGUUUCAAAGUAUUCAUUGGAGAGGGAGGGACUGAGAGUGGUUGGGGUUAGUCUUGGUUUUGUUUGGGGUGUUUUGGUUUUUGCUGUUCUGUUUGAGUUAGAUUUAGUUAGGUUCAGUGUUAGUGUUAGGUGUGGUUGAAAUCCUUCGGAGAAGAACGAUGAUUCUGUUGAUUAUGCUGGGCAGGAUCCGAGCCUCCCUGGCCAGGAGGACCAGCAGAGUGGCCCCCCUGGAUGCCCCAGGGGAGCCCACAGCCUCCAGGCCAGCUGCCGGCCCAUGAUGGUGCAUCUGUGGGCGGAGGAACCGGGUGGCCCCCGCUGCCUCCCUCGCUGCUGCCAGCUGAGGAGAGCAGCAAGCCAGGGCCAUCAGAGCCACUUGCACAGGAUGCUGGAGCUUUCACAGCCUGCCCCAUGAUUACUGCCAGGCUCCAGAUGGUGAAACGGUCCAGAAUGCUGAAGGAAGGAGGAGUGAAGGAGAGGAGGGCCUGGAUAGAAUUCCUGAUGGCUGUCAUCCUUGCGUGUCAGGGAGCCCCCCGGAGAGGGGAGCGGCGCUUCCCCUUCUCUAAGGGAUUAGCAGCCCAGGACAUGCUGGAGGAGAUGGACAAUAUUUGGGAGGACCCUGUGCCCCACCAGCUGCUCUCUCUCUGUACGGAGGCCAUCACCUCCUUGAGUUGGAUGAAGCCCCGCUUUGGAGAGAAGACUGAAAAAAAAAGUGAUAUUGGAUUUCCUCUUCUGGAUUAGCCACAUGGUUGGAGAAAGACAAGGAACUAAGUAUUGAUGGAGCCCCCACAACCCCCCACCUAGGAAAAGACACUGUCUGGGCCGGUGCCUCUUCGGUAGGGGGACCUGCAUAUCCCGUCCCCAUGGAGACAGUCACCUUGAGCCCCCAUGAGGGAAGAGGACAGGCAGGAUUCCUGGGAGUCCCCCAGGAGGGGCUGCAAAAUCCCCUCAGGCCAGCAGCAGCCACACUCUGGUUCUCUCUCCACUUCAGAGCCCAUUUUGGCCCUCCAAGAAGGCCCUGCAAAUCAUGCUACAAGGCCUCCUGGAAGAAAAGCCCACCCUGACCCACCUGAUCCAGAUGGCCAAUACUUGAUCACUUUCCAGAGACCUUUUGAAGCAUCACUUUUUAGGCCAUCGACGUGGAGAUCUACAGUGACAAUGAGCAGGAGGUGGUGGUAGCAGAGAGGGCUGGCCUGUUCCUCCUCAACCUCGCCAUUGGGCCCCCCUUCCACUUCAAGGUGGAGCAAAUCAAACCUCUGCUCCCGUUGACCAUUCACCAGGUGGAGAGGACGGCCAAGGGCGACGGCAGCCAUUUGUCCAGUGAAGAUGAUCUCUUCUGGGGAGCUCUCGAAUUCGGGGAUGACUGAGAACUCCGGGCAGACCUUAUGUCCCAAUUCAGCGGACUUCUUCAAGGAAAAAUAAGAGGACUCCAGGAACAAUGGUGUCCAGGAAUAUCCCACAGCCACCGCGAAGCCCAUAGCAACCCUGGCCAAAACAAAAAAAAAAACAGAAGAAGAGCUCCAUAUGUGCCAACAAGAUGAGGAGUGUUUUGCCCAGCUGGAGGCACACCGCUGUCUAGCAGGAGAUCAUCUCUAUAUGUUGCUGAACUUGGCAAAAAAGAGGAGCCGCUCAAGCGGGGAGAGAGAGAGAGCAGUGAGAGCCAGAGCACCCACCAGAGGAAUAUAGAAGUGCCUUCACCCCAAGCGCAUGAACAGGAGCCAGAGAUGCUUCCUCCUCGACAGCAACAGCCAGCCGAGGUCACCCCCAAGUGCUCCGUUUUCUUCACCCCAGGAGCGGAUCCCCAUGUGGUUCUUGCCCCCUUCAAACGGGCUGAGCAGAACCAGGAUCUCCAGGAGGGCAAGUCUGUGAGUGGUCUGGUCAACGGGGAUCUGGCCAAGGGCUGCAGCAGCAGACCAGAAGGAGAGGAUGUCACUGGUGUCAUGGCUGAAGAGCUGGUGCACCAAAAUCCUGGGUUUAAGCGAUUUUUUCUUAAAACACUGCAGCAAAUGCCAGGAAGAGCCACUGACUAGAGCAUUUGCAUAAUCAUUAAGAUGACAAGAGGAAAGCACACUUUAGGACUGCAAAUAGAACUGCCUUGCCUAGAUGAGCCCCUGGUGGCGCAGUGGUAAAAACUGCCACUCUGUAACCAGAAGGUUACAAGUUCGAUCCUGACCAGGGGCUCAAGGUUGACUCAGCCUUCCAUCCUUCCGAGGUCGGCAAAAUGAGUACCCAGAAUGUUGAGGGGCAAUAUGCUAAAUCAUUGUAAACUGCUUAGAGAGCUCCAGCUAUAGAGCGGUAUAUAAAUGUAAGUGCUAUUGCUAUUGCUAGAUGUGAAGAGGAGAAAAAUCAGCCUUCAGGAAGCAAACUCUUGGAAAGUUCUAGUUAUAAAAUCUCUGUGUAUGCUCAAGCUGUCUUUUUUGGAACAAUAUUCGCUGGCUUGCAUCAGGUUAUCACUGGUUUAAAAAGAGGUUUUACCAACAAACAGGUGUAAAGCACACCACACAUGUGCUGGGGAAAAGGGAAGAAAUCUGUUAGUGUAUACAAAGGCUCCCAGUCUAGGCCAUGAGGUUUGUGCCAGGAGAAUCUGUGUGCAGUGGAGACAUUGGCAGGAAAGUCCCUCUGAAGACAGGAGCGAAAAUCCUAGAUGGGACGGGCUGCACUGAGCCCCAAACCUGUGCCUAGACCAGGACCAGAGACUGCCCAGCAAGCCGGAGGCGGAAAAGAGAGAAAAGAAAGAGAACUCUGUGCAGGGAUCAGUGUAGGGUCAGGUAGUGGGUGAGCAUUUUCCAGCCUUUUGUUUUCCCUGGGAUGUUCUUGGGUUAAUUGUUUUUAGGGUUAGUGUAAAGUUGUGUCUUAAUGGAACUGAUUUCUUUUUAAGUAAACUUUUUUAUU